GGUCCUGUGGCCCAAUGGAUAAGGCGCCUGACUACGAAUCAGGAGAUUCCAGGUUCGAGUCCUAGCAGGAUCG
rfam:Ciona savignyi cont_17356, whole genome shotgun sequence.